rnacentral:sRNA from 1 species
GUGACCAGGCCUGAGCUCCCUAUUUCUCCUCAGUGACAUCGUCUUUAAACCCUGCGUGGCAAUCCCUGACGCACCGCCGUGAUGCCCAGGGAAGACAGGGCGACCUGGAAGUCCAACUACUUCCUUAAGAUCAUCCAACUAUUGGAUGAUUAUCCGAAAUGUUUCAUCGUGGGAGCAGACAAUGUGGGCUCCAAGCAGAUGCAGCAGAUCCGCAUGUCCCUUCGCGGGAAGGCCGUGGUGCUGAUGGGCAAGAACACCAUGAUGCGCAAGGCCAUCCGAGGGCACCUGGAAAACAACCCAGCUCUGGAGAAACUGCUGCCUCAUAUCCGGGGGAAUGUGGGCUUUGUGUUCACCAAGGAGGACCUCACUGAGAUCAGGGACAUGUUGCUGGCCAAUAAGGUGCCAGCUGCUGCCCGUGCUGGUGCCAUUGCCCCAUGUGAAGUCACUGUGCCAGCCCAGAACACUGGUCUCGGGCCCGAGAAGACCUCCUUUUUCCAGGCUUUAGGUAUCACCACUAAAAUCUCCAGGGGCACCAUUGAAAUCCUGGUGAGUGGACCUGGUUUGCCUGUGCUAGACAGGCAAAUGGGGAGCUGCUUUUAGUGGCCAUGGAUCUGCUGGUUGUCCAACAGGUGUUUACUGCCCCACUAUUAUCUUGUUCAGAGUGAUGUGCAGCUGAUCAAGACUGGAGACAAAGUGGGAGCCAGCGAAGCCACACUGCUGAACAUGCUCAACAUCUCCCCCUUCUCCUUUGGGCUGGUCAUCCAGCAGGUGUUCGACAAUGGCAGCAUCUACAACCCUGAAGUGCUUGAUAUCACAGAGGAAACUCUGCAUUCUCGCUUCCUGG